rnacentral:sRNA from 1 species
UAGAAAAUAAUAUUUUAUGCACUCUUUGAAAUUUUCCUGUAAUAUAUUUUGAUUGUAUUCACCCUCCCACAACUCCUUUGAGACCUUCCCCAGUGCCCUCCCUAUCCACACAACCUCAUCCCGUACCUCUUAAACAACAACCCAAAACCCAUAGAGUCUAGUUUGUGUUGGCUGACUACUCCUGAGUGUUUGGCCAGCCCUGGAUUGUGAUCAAUACACAAACUAGAAUGCUCCAAACCUGUCAUUCUCAGAGGGUGUUGUCCUUUUGAGGGUCAGGUAGAGUCCUUCAGGUUUGUCCAAAACAUUCUAGUGAAGUUUUUGGUCCUCAGUUGCUGUGGUUAUCACUUUUUGUUUUACUAUUUUUUUAAACAGUUUUGGCCCUGUGGCCUUUGUGACCAUGGGCAGCAGCACCCUUCGUGUUGUUCCCUCUGGCACCAUGUGCCCCUUUGCACUUGAUUACAUGAUGGUCCUGGGGUUGGCAAAGUUCUCCACCAUAAGCUCCCUGUUUUCUGGUUCUUCUUUUGCCUCAUCUUCUUCUUCCAUUCAAGAAUGCGUCUCCUCUCUGAAAGGACACAAAGCAUGGCUGCCCCUCCUCCACAGGACAGUCAUUAGCUCAGUUCAUAUAUUCAUGGCGACUAUAUCUGAAAAAAUAAAAGAGUAGUGUGUAUCCAGAAAUCACUUAAGGUAGGGCUCCCCAACUUGUGAGUAUGGUCCUCAAUAGUGUUCAAAAGUGGCACCGAGGUUCUCUAUGGACUUCUUACGAGCACCCUCAGAUCUGAGGUGACUGUUCCAGCCAGACUGGCCCUUUGAUUCUGGCUUCUCUGGGUUACACACUCUGCAGUUAGGACAAAAGGCACAGACUGGGGAGCAUGUAGUGUAUAGAGUCAGCAUUGCCUCUUGCUAGGGCCUGGGCCUGGAGAGUUGUCAUCCUUCAUUUGGGGGCUUCCCAGUUGUCAACUAGCACCAUGAUUCCCAGGCUGCUGUGCAAGUCGGAAGAAACAGGACAGUUCAGUGCCUGGUACACAGUAGGAACUCAGCACUACAAUGCGUUCCUCCUCUUUCUUGGGCAGUUUUUUGAGACAGGACAAGCCUCGUCAAUUGAAAUCCCCAGGAAGCUGCCGGAACUUGUUGCCAGGUGAUUCCUUCUUAACGCCAGAUGGCUGCCAGCACCCAAGCUACCACACAGUAGAUUUCUUUUCCUUCCUCACUCUCAUCUAUCUCCUAUAGCCAGAGACUCUAAAGCUCUCAUAGUACAUUGUCAGGGAAGGGUUGGAUUGCCCACCCAUGGCUGAGGAUACAUUUUUUUACACAAGGCUGCCUAAAGUUUGGGCAUAGGGUGACAAUCACAUCACGUCUCAUCACUCUAGGAUGUCCAACACCAUCUAUCCUUUUGCUGUAGGAGAAGAUCACUUUCUCUUUGGCUAAGUCUCACAUCAAAUCUAGAGGAUUCCUUGACAGUGUGGAGGGGAUGGAUGGCGUAGAUGAGCCUUGUCAGACCGGCAGCUCCGCUGGUCCACAGGCAACCGUGUUCUGCACCCUCAUAGCCUCCCGUUUCUGCCUGUGCAGUGCUUGGCUCUUCUUGCCUUGUGUUAUAACUCCCUGGUGUUCCCUCACUAUGCUUAUAAAAAAACCAUAAUUUAUGCGUGAUUUGAUCACAUUUAUUAAAUUUUUAAACCGAUUUCCCUUCCAAGCACUUGGCAGCUUCUAAAUUGUUUUACAGUCGUGGUAGAAUCAUUUAUUCUUAUAUACAAGCAUGCAUAUAUUCACACGGAAUGCACUUUUAUACACAUCCUGCAGCUAUCUUUCAGGAAUGGAAAUGAUGACCCUUGACAGCAAAACUCAGCCUGCGAUGCAUGUUGUCUGCUGUUUGUGGGUUCGUAGCUCUUCGGGUGUUCUAGGGUUGAUUUUUAAGUGAAAGUCCCACCAGGGAAAGGGGAGCAGGGAUGGGAGCGGGUAACAGAACUGACUUGUUCAUCUGGUAUGGGGGAAGAAGCUGAGACGUGAGGACCCAUGCAUUUUUUUAAAAUGGCAACUAAAUGUCUGUCCUUCUCUCUUAGAUUUUCCUUCUCAUCCUCUCUGACCAGAUUAGCAACAGACAUUUUCUGAGAAUCUUUCUCUUCAUGUCUGCCGUGCUGCGCAGAGCACCCCACGGUCUGCAGGACUCCUCUUUCCUCAUCCAAGGCUGCACGGUUAACUCGGAUCCUCCCUGGAAGGCUGAAUCUUUCUCUUGCAUCUGCAUGUGCAUCACCAGAUAAUGAGUCUCACCAGUCUUCUGCCUCCUGUGUCCUUCUUUUGACAUGGGGGAACAAAUGUCACUCCAGCUGGCUGCCUCUCUAAACACACACAUUUUAUCGGUGCUUAGAAAGGGACCUGGCAUUCGCACAAAGGGCUUUGAAGGUUCUUAUUAUCUCCUUGGACUUUUUCCUCUAAUCUGUCUACCAGAAUGGUCAGCGCAUCACGGCCAUUAAAAGCAGCAUCUCACCAUAGCCUUACCCUGUGCUAGGAGUUCUGGAAAGCAUAUGAUGUGUAGCAAUCACUGAAUCUAAACAUUCUAACAAUCCUAAAAAUCCUGUCCCAUUGUUUCAGAUAAGAAAAUCAAGGUCACUGAGAGCAACAAACCUAUCCAGAAUCUCAGUGCAAAAUGCAGGUCCUAGACCUGAGGGCAGCUCAUAGCUUUGCCUGCAGUCCUGUGCCUUCUAGCGCCCUCCCCACCCUCCAUGGGUUCCUAACACACCGAGUUGCCUCUGCUUGCUCCUCACGCUACAAUAUUUCCGAGCUGUUCUUGCUUUCAUUAGCUUGGGAGUCUCACCAGUGCAGGAACCAUAUUAUAUUUGCUGUUUGUGUCCUGAUACCAAGGGCAUUCUUUGACAGGAGCUGUUUAAACCUGGCUAGGUCUUAGAUGAUGAACCAGGGUGAGGGUCCUGAGAAGCAAGGAGAAGAUGGGUGAGGAAUUUCUGAUGCAGACUGGAAGGCACAGGUUUCUGUUUUCCAGUCUUGAAUUGGACAGGGAUGAUGCUGAUGGUGCCAUCUGCUUUCUACCUGAAAGCUCUUCCCUCACCUUGGACUCUGAAGGAUACAUGGCCCUCACCUCCACAUCCGCAGGCCAGCUGCCCUGUGAAGAGUGUCUGGAGGCAGACUCAGAGACUAUUCCUCUGCCUCGGUUCUGUUCUUCGGGUGCUCUCCUGAAGUCUUCCCUUCCGGAAGGAUCACCAGGGAGUGAGAGUGACUGGGAGGACCUGGAUGAGCCUGUGGAUGGGGAUGAGGUGCUCAGGUGGACACACUCAGCGCGAGUCUCCUGAGAUAGAACCCCGAGGGAUUCUUCACAGGCACUCUUUUGUGGGAGAGCCCUCAGCUGACUUCCGUCCAGGAAAUGUACCUGUUUGCUCAUCUCCCCUGGAAGAAGCAUCUUCGAGCCAACGGGCUAGGCUGGAGCUCCUGGGCUAGUUACCAAGGGCUAACUUCUGAGAGUUUGUGCCUGUUACUUCUGAGGCUCAUCACCAUUAGUAGCCACAACUUCCUCUUCCGUUCUAAAGCUUAAGUCAAGCAAAUUUUUGUGUGUAUGGAGUAGGUUUCCCCUCGUGAAGGGAAUUGAGAACUAAUUUCUUUACAUAAGAUAAGCCGGAGCAGAGGAAGCGCCCGGCUGCCACGCUGGUGCACCGUUUUCCAAGAUGGAUGCCACAUUCUGGUUUAACUGUCUCAGUGUCCUUGAAAACAUCUGGCAAGGGCUCAAAGGCCACACAGGAAAUAUCUUUCUGUAUUGAUUUUUCCAUGUCCUUCCUUUAGCUCCAAAUAGUCAUGUGUUCUUUCUAAAGGAUUUUUCCUCUUUCGAUCCUAAUGCCUGGUUCUCAUCACCUAGAAAGUGAAGUGUAGUUGAGCUACCAUUACUCGAGGUGGAUAGGUAGCUGCCAUCAUUACAAGAAUGAAAACUAGUAGAAUUAACACAUGCAUGGAAGAAAAAGACCUGUUGGGCCAUAGCGUAAGUCAUUAGUGUGACCCUGUAUAAUGGAGAAGACAUAGCAGAGACAAGGUCUCACAUGAGGGAAAUGGGGAAAAUGUACUAAUAUAAUGAGAGUGUGCCCGUUAUAGGUCAUGUUCUGCCAUGUAGGCCUGUUCUGCUGCGCAUGGAAAAGAAAUUCCCAGCAAUCUGAGUAGCCCUUCCUUCAGACUGUUACAGCUCCACAUGCUGCUGCAUCAUUUUAUAGGCCUCGGCUGUGGAGAAUUAAUUAACUAUGCAAUAAAAUGACUAAUUAAUAACAUUUA